rnacentral:rRNA from 1 species
UCAAGGAGCUUGCUCCUGAAGAUCUAGUGGCGAACGGGUGCGUAACACGUGAGAAACCUGCCCCAGACUUGGGAAUAACAGUCGGAAACGACUGCUAAUACCGAAUACCUUCACACCGUCGCAUGGCGAAGUGAAGAAAGCUUUUGCGGUUUGGGAGGGUCUCGCGGCCUAUCAGCUAGUUGGUGAGGUAACGGCUCACCAAGGCAUCGACGGGUAGCUGGUCUGAGAGGAUGAUCAGCCACACUGGGACUGAGACACGGCCCAGACUCCUACGGGAGGCAGCAGUGGGGAAUAUUGCACAAUGGGCGAAAGCCUGAUGCAGCAACGCCGCGUGCGGGAAGAAGGCCCUAGGG